UUUGCUGAAGAGAAGCCAAGAAAACCAGUGACUGAUAAAGGGGAUCUUGAUGGCCAUGAUUUUCAUCUGUGGCCAAUCACAAUCUAUGUUCUGUGCGUGGGCUGUGGCCAAUCACAAUCUAUGUACUGUGGCUGGGCUGUGGCCAAUCACAAUCUAUGUACUGGGAGUGGGCUGUGGCCAAUCAAAAUCUAUGUACUGUGGGUGGGUAUGUUGCACUGCAGUCACAUCAGGAUUCUAUCAGCAAGAAAAUUCCUACAUGGGUGGACAAGCAAAAAUGUCAGUCCCUGCCUUCACCACCUUCCUUUCCACUCGUGUCGAGAGCCCUAAAGAUGACCUGAUUCUCAGCUGGGGCUCUUCUAUGAACAGCUGGUAGCCAUAAGGAGCAGAAAAGAAAACUUCUGAUUCUGAAUCUAUCAACUUAGCCUCUGACACUGCAUACAAUGCUGCAUCCUACAGCCCCCACUUUUUUGGGUAGACGGCCAUCAGAAUCCAAAGUUUAUAUUAUUCUGAAGAUCUGUUUGUUGUAAACAACAAACAUAUACAAAAAAAGGCCCAUAUACAAGUAAAACAAACAAAACAGGUUUGUUUA
rnacentral:lncRNA from 1 species